ensembl:lncRNA
GCUAGAGCUCUGUAUCCACCUGGGCAGGCACCAGGUACCUCAUCAAUCAGUUCUGCUAGUGAAGUCACUGGGCUAGUUAAUAAAAAGUCAGAGUUUGUGAAAGUAAUUGCAAGAUCUAGAGAAACGUGUACAAAAGGUCUUAAAUAAGAAGAAAUCCAAUAAGUCAGCCCUUUGAUUAAAGUGCUGCAACUAAUAUGCAUAUCUGUCUAUCUAUGAUCUGAUAUGAUUUUUAAUCCUUCUUUCAAAUCCCAAUCGUUAAUGAGGGAUAGGGCUGGACCAAAGAGAUUUACUGAUACCAACUCAGAGCCAUGGCUGUAAAUCAGGACAGUGAAGAAGUAUGCCACUGCUGGCUUAUGUUCUCUUCCUGCAAAGGGACAGGGAUGAAUGAACAAGUGUCUGAAUGAAUGACUGAAUAGAUGAAUGAAUGAAAGAAUGAAUGCAUAAUCAAAUAAAUACAUUAAAAUACAUUGUCAGCUUGCUGGGAUUACAUAGCAAUGGAGCUCUUCGGGAGCUUUGUACAGUUAUCAGCAACGGUGUCCUCAUUUUUAUUAUAAAUUAAAACCUACUUUAUUCAAACCUUCCGAGUGUUUAAUUUUUACCAAAAGUCAAAAGGUCCUUUGCAUUUGGAAAAAACUACAGGAUUUGGCUCCUGUGCUACCAAACCCACAUCCCUGCAUAGCUGCACUCGCUGAGUGGAGCACCGUGCUCCCACUGUGCAGCUGGGGUCGGCUGCCAACCAAUGGUUCCCAAGGGCCAUCGUGGUGCUGACACAACAGGUACUGUGCUGCAGCUGUAAACGUGAGGACAGAUUUGGGGAAAUUACCCUAUUUUCUCCCCUCCCUGCAACACUGAAGACACUUUUGUUUUCCCAAGCUAUGACCCCAGCCCUGCACUUGUGCUGCCUCUGGGAAAUGCAAUGUUAGGAGUUGCCAUCAAUAUUUCAAGGUAGUGUCUUUUUCUGGACAAGACACAAGAAGGACAACUGGUAGAAACCUUGUGGGUACCCAGCAAUGGAUGUAGGCUUCCUGACCUCAAGGCAAAGGUUUUAUUCCUUUUGAAGAAAAUGUGGUGAUCCGUUUAAUUUUUUUUUUUCCCUGCAAAACAGCUGCUUUGAAACUCGGUGAUCUGAUGAGAUGAAGGUCACUGAAAUUUCCUUCCUUUUCCCUCUGCUUUGGAAAUGACUUCUGUCUUAAGGCCCUGGAGGGUGAAGCUCUUCUAACUCAAGACAAAGGUUCUUCACAUGAGAGAUUAAUCCGUUUCCCCGUAAUUAAAUAAACAACACUCUCUACGUGGCUAUAUAGAAUAAACUAAAAUGAAGAAAGAACAUGUUGUGGAAAAUAUGGAGAAGUACAACUAGAGAAGUGCAACGUACUUCAGCAGAAUCCAGGUUGCAUCAUGUUGUGCUCCACUACAUCAUGUUAGUAUAUAUGGCGGAGAAGGCAAAAUGCAGUAACAGGAUGUGACAGACAACACUUAGCAAAAAUAUUCACUUAUUUGACUCAGAUACUUGCUAUCAGUUUGAAUUGGGAUACAUGGUACCAAGCAAAGCUGACAGAUAGAAGCAAACUCAGCAAGGAACUCACCCCACGUAGAUCCAAAAGCUUCUUGUCUCAUACCCAGUACUCGCUCUCCUAGUGGUCACUGCUCUCCCUCAGCUCUCCUCCUCACCAUUCCUUUCCUUGAUGCAUUAGCAUCUCCAAGGAGUCUUCUGGGCAGUGACAAUAGUGGGAUGCAGACCCAAGCUGGCCUGGAUUUACACCCUUGGUCCCCUGGAGAAAUCAUUGGGUGGUUGUUUAAAGCUGGUACAGCAUUGAAUACAGCAGAGGAGCCUUGACCUUUAUUUGUAAGCAUGGAAAUAAGCCCCCCUUUUCUGGCAGAAGUCAUUGCUGGAUCCCUGAAGUCCAGUGAAUUUGAAGAUCCACCAGGUCAUUAUCAUCUGUGGGCUGGAAAAGCUCCUUUUGGGAUAUUAAACAAUUAAAAGAGGGAAACCCUC